AAUACUACCUCCAUCCUAUAUUACUUGUCGUUUUGACUUUUUACUUGUAAUGAUUGACCAUUCGUUUUAUUUGAAAAAUUAGUGCAAAUAUAAAAAAUGAUAAGUAAACUACAUUUAAUAAUAAAAUAAGUCACAAAUAAAAUAAAUAAUAAUUCUAAGUUUAUUUUGAAUAAGACGAAUAAUCAAACAUUAAAAAAAACUCAAGGCAACAAGUAAUAUGGGGCGAAGGU
rnacentral:misc_RNA from 1 species